GUCGAGCGAACAUUUACAUGAAGUUUUCGGAUGGAAUGUUAUCUGACUGAGCGGCGGACGGGUGAGUAACGCGUGGGUAACCUGCCUUAUACAGGGGGAUAACAGUUAGAAAUGACUGCUAAUACCGCAUAAGCGCACAGUACUGCAUGGUACAGUGUGAAAAACUCCGGUGGUAUAAGAUGGACCCGCGUCUGAUUAGCCAGUUGGCGGGGUAACGGCCCACCAAAGCGACGAUCAGUAGCCGACCUGAGAGGGUGACCGGCCACAUUGGGACUGAGACACGGCCCAAACUCCUACGGGAGGCAGCAGUGGGGAAUAUUGCACAAUGGGGGAAACCCUGAUGCAGCAACGCCGCGUGAGUGAAGAAGUAUUUCGGUAUGUAAAGCUCUAUCAGCAGGGAAGAAGAUGACGGUACCUGAUUAAGAAGCCCCGGCUAACUACGUGCCAGCAGCCGCGGUAAUACGUAGGGGGCAAGCGUUAUCCGGAUUUACUGGGUGUAAAGGGAGCGCAGACGGCAGUGCAAGUCUGGAGUGAAAGCCCGGGGCCCAACCCCGGAACUGCUCUGGAAACUGUGCGGCUAGAGUACUGGAGGGGCAGGCGGAAUUCCUAGUGUAGCGGUGAAAUGCGUAGAUAUUAGGAGGAACACCAGUGGCGAAGGCGGCCUGCUGGACAGUAACUGACGUUGAGGCUCGAAAGCGUGGGGAGCAAACAGGAUUAGAUACCCUGGUAGUCCACGCCGUANACGAUGAAUGCUAGGUNUCGGGGAGCAAAGCUUCCCGGUGCCGCCGCAAACGCAUUAAGCAUUCCACCUGGGGAG
rnacentral:rRNA from 1 species